rnacentral:lncRNA from 1 species
GUGCCUUUUAUAGCUUACGAUACAGUAUUGGUUUUUUUCUCAUUGUUGAAGCCUAUACUAUGACAUAUACUUGCUUACGUCCAUGCACGUCAUUUGAACUCUGGUGAAUAUUUGUCAUAUCACAUCUAAUAUAUUUUGCAUUGCUUUAUGGGAGAUCGUCUUUUUGAAACAAAAUUGGAAUGAAAAUUAUAGAACAAAAACGGGUUAUAAAAAUGUCCUUACAUAUUUCCCUAGUAUAUAUUAUAUAUAAUGCAAAUUCUUGUCUAAAAUUGAUGGUGAUCAACAAUAUUGUGCUUCUGAAUUAUGCAUAUAAACAGCCUCAUCUUUUAAACAAGUCAUGCUUAUCGAAAUUAUUAGUAGUAAAACUAGAUUUAACAGUAGAUCUAAAACUUUAUAUCACAGUUAAAUCUACUGAAGCAUAUAACCAACAGAGAUACGUUGUUAUUUAUCUGGUAUGAAACUUUGUCCGAACUCUAUUAUAUUAGUUAAACAGGUGUAAAUUUUUCGCUAAAGUCUUAUAAGACCAAUAGGUAUCAAAAAGGUGGGAUUAAAGUGUACUAUCAUUUUAAUCAUUUAAACUUGUUUGAACCUUCUUUUGGCCGUGGUCUUUUAGGGAUGAAAUCAUUUAAAGAGGCGUAUUCCUUUGACUCAAAUCAAUGAUUCUUACAUUAACAUUCGAUUGCAAUAAAGACCUGCCUCUUGCCUCCUGAAUUUUCAAAAUUGCGGCCAUUAAUUUAAAAAAAAAAGAAAAAAGAAAAUUUACUUGUACAUUUUGAAUGGUCAUAUAUUUUAAUUCAAACCAGAAGCUAUACAGCUUAUAGGUAUAUCAUAAAUAUAAACAUGGUACGUUAAGUCAGGAAUAUGCAUAUACUGUUUGCCACUGGACACUACGCAAGUAACACUUAAUAAAUCCUUCUAUCCCUAUUUCACAUGUUAAGGUCUGUAAGGGGUUUACAGAAAUCAGAAUAAUAGGCAAAAGGUGCAGAAAAAAGGCAAAAAGUGAAGAAAAGAUAAAAAGACCAAAAAUGGACACACAAAAUAAAGAAUAGAUAAUAAUUAGGUGCUGAAAUAUAAAGAAUAAAAGAGUUGUGGUCAAAAUAAAUAAAGAAUAUUAAAAAAUGGUCUAAACAGUAAAGAAAUCAAUUACACUCAUCUAGACUCUUGCAAGUUCCAUGACUCUGUAGAAUGUAGAAUUCCUUAUCAUUCACAUUUCUGCACUCGUCUUUAUGUAUGAAUAUUCUGCAUCGUUUUUACCUGCAUCUUUUGAUGAUGUUAUAUAUGAACCAUGUUAUUAUCAUUAACACUAUAUGAUGAUGUAGUAGAUAGUUGUAUCAUAAUGACUGGCUGAUCUCCCUGAUUCAUUUGUAUGUAUCUACAUGGUGCCAAAUGUAACAUGUAACAUUGUAUUGUACUUAACCCUUUACCACCUACAUGUAUUUACUUAAUUGCAUAAAGAAAUUACCAUGUAACAAAAUGGUACAAAAAAUGCAUGAGGAAAUUAUGUUUUGGGUCACCUUAUUUAAUGUUGUUAAAAUAGAAUUAUGUGUUAUUGCGGGGUCAAAAUCCUCCACUUGUCUCACAGUGUGAGUGUUUUUGUGGAAUGUUUUUUAUCGAUCUUUUCUUAUCUUUCUCGUUUCUUUCUUUGACUUAUGACUUUUGAUUUUACUAUAUAUGCCCUUUGUAUCAGCAUAUAUACCAAAUUAACACAUCUGUGCUGUUUAAAUAAGGCCGUUUAAAUAAUUUUACAAGGGUCAAUUGGACAUGGCAAUACCGCUGAAUAAAACAAAAAUUUAUAGUCAAUCUAAAGUGUAAUGUUUAUGUGAAAAAAUAUCCUACAACCAGCCAACUUGAUUGUACAAAUUACAUUUAUGCAAAUAAAUAUUAGCUUAAAUUUUACUUGAAACUUGAACUUUUAAUUUCUCAAAGACACACUAUGGUAUGUAAAUAUGAACAAAUAAAAUGCAUAUAACAAAUAAUAAUGCAUGGAGUGUCAAAUACAAUUAAUGUAAGAAAAUGACAUUAUUUAUAGGAUUUUUACAAAGUGCAAUAGUAAAGCAAAAUGUACAAAAGUCUCUUGUUAUCCAGCUUCUAUGUAGAGCGAACGGAAAAGUUAGUUCUCUUUACGGUCCGCAUUGGUUUAAGCGAUGUUGCUAUUUUUUGUCCUGUUUCUUAAGCUUGUACGAAUAAAUAAAACAUUUCCCUACAAAGUACAUGCAUAUAUAACAUGUUUACAAAAGAAUAGUAGGGAUGUUAGUGCAUAAAGGGUUGAUUGAUUGAUUGUUGUUACACAAAUGAUGUGUCGCUGCUAGAUAUAUUAAAUGUGUAAUGGAAUUAUGUUUCUAUGCCAUUUCCAAGCCACAUGUACAGUAGAACGAAUGCAGACUGAAAACGAAUAGAAGUACAUUCAUCUUUGAUAGUUGCCUUUUUGCCAAAAGCUACAGAUAUUUAUUUCCUACAUGCAGAAGUUUUUAUUACCUUAAUGUUUUGUUUCAGAUACAAUUAGUAUCCAUCAUAUAGUACUAUAACUUGUACUUUUGUUUUUGCAUCUGUUUAUCAACCUAAUUUCAGAGGCUCAAACAUAGUAAAAAGAAUACAAUUGAAAACUCUUCCCAAAAUCACAACAAACUUGAAAGAAAAUCAAGUGCUAUUGUGGUUUGUCUUUUCUUAAUAGGCAUUUAUACAUAUUAAAAAAAGCGUAUAAAGCCACUAUAUUAAUAAACCAAAAACCAUAUUUAAGAAUUUUCGUUGUUUUUUUUUUGUGGGAAAUAAUGAAUAAAAAUUGGUACAAUGCCACCCUAAAGAUACGGCCUUCAGAGGCGGAUUCAGAUAGAGCAAUUGACCGGCUCCCCUUUUUGAGCUACACAUUUAAAAGAAUGGGUUGUUUUUUUUUGUU